rnacentral:rRNA from 1 species
GACGAACGCUGGCGGCGUGCCUAACACAUGCAAGUCGAGCGGGGUCCAUCCAGUGGCAACACUGGGGAAGACCUAGCGGCGAACGGGUGAGUAACACGUGAGGAACUUGCCCCGGAGUACGGGAUAACUCGAGGAAACUCGAGCUAAUACCGUAUGCCCUCUUCUGGUCGCAUGGCCGGAUGAGGAAAGAUUCAUCGCUCCGGGAGAGCCUCGCGGCCUAUCAGCUAGUUGGUGGGGUAACGGCCCACCAAGGCAUCGACGGGUAGCUGGUCUGAGAGGACGAUCAGCCACACUGGGACUGAGACACGGCCCAGACUCCUACGGGAGGCAGCAGUGGGGAAUCUUGCGCAAUGGGCGAAAGCCUGACGCAGCAACGCCGCGUGCGGGAUGAAGGCCUCGGUUGUAAACCGCUUUCAGCAGGGAAGAAACGUAGACGGUAACC